UGAGGGAAUAUUGGGUCAAUGGGCGCAGGCCUGAACCAGCCAAGUCGCGUGAGGGAUGACGGUCCUACGGAUUGUAAACCUCUUUUGUCGGGGAGUAACGUGCGGGACGGGUCCCGUAUUGAGAGUACCCGAAGAAAAAGCAUCGGCUAACUCCGUGCCAGCAGCCGCGGUAAUACGGAGGAUGCGAGCGUUAUCCGGAUUUAUUGGGUUUAAAGGGUGCGCAGGCGGCGCGCCAAGUCAGCGGUCAAAGUUCCGGGCUCAACCCGGUGUCGCCGUUGAAACUGCGAGACUGGAGUGCGACAGAGGAAGGCGGAAUGCGAGGUGUAGCGGUGAAAUGCAUAGAUAUCGCGCAGAACUCCGAUUGCGAAGGCAGCCUUCCAUGUCGUGACUGACGCUGAGGCACGAAAGCGUGGGGAUCGAACAGGAUUAGAUACCCUGGUAGU
rnacentral:rRNA from 1 species